rnacentral:rRNA from 1 species
GAUGAACGCUGGCGGCGUGCCUAAUACAUGCAAGUCGAGCGAAUGGAUUAAGAGCUUGCUCUUAUGAAGUUAGCGGCGGACGGGUGAGUAACACGUGGGUAACCUGCCCAUAAGACUGGGAUAACUCCGGGAAACCGGGGCUAAUACCGGAUAACAUUUUGAACCGCAUGGUUCGAAAUUGAAAGGCGGCUGCGGCUGUCACUUAUGGAUGGACCCGCGUCGCAUUAGCUAGUGGGUGAGGUAACGGCUCACCAAGGCAACGAUGCGUAGCCGACCUGAGAGGGUGAUCGGCCACACUGGGACUGAGACACGGCCCAGACUCCUACGGGAGGCAGCAGUAGGGGAUCUUCCGCAAUGGACGAAAGUCUGACGGAGCAACGCCGCGUGAGUGAUGAAGGCUUUCGGGUCGUAAAACUCUGUUGUUAGGGAAGAACAAGUGCUAGUUGAAUAAGCUGGCACCUUGACGGUACCUAACCAGAAAGCCGCGGCUAACUACGUGCCAGCCGCCGCCGUAA